rnacentral:ncRNA from 2 species
CGCCUCACCUCGGGGUGCCGGCGCAAGGCUGGCUGAGAUGCGAUCUUCGCGAACCCGUUGAACCUGAACCGGUUAAGACCGGCGGAGGGAAGGUAGCCGGAUCCCCC